rnacentral:rRNA from 1 species
AGAGCGAACGCUGGCGGCAGGCCUAACACAUGCAAGUCGAGCGCGUGUAGCAAUACACGAGCGGCAGACGGGAGAGUAACACGUGGGAACGCGCCCUUUGGUUCGGAAUAACUCAGGGAAACUUGAGCUAAUACCGGAUAAGCCCUUACGGGGAAAGAUUUAUCGCCAAAGGAACGGCCCGCGUCCGAUUAGCUAGUUGGUGAGGUAACGGCUCACCAAGGCGACGAUCGGUAGCUGGUCUGAGAGGAUGACCAGCCUCACUGGGACUGAGACACGGCCCAGACUCCUACGGGAGGCAGCAGUGGGGAAUAUGGACAAUGGGCGCAAGCCUGAUCCAGCCAUGCCGCGUGGAUGAUGAAGGCCUUAGGGUUGUAAAGUCCUUUUAACGGGGAAGAUAAUGACGGUACCCGUAGAAUAAGCCCCGGCUAACUUCGUGCCAGCAGCCGC